GAUGAACGCUGGCGGCGUGCCUAAUACAUGCAAGUCGAGCGAACAGACGAGGAGCUUGCUCCUCUGACGUUAGCGGCGGACGGGUGAGUAACACGUGGAUAACCUACCUAUAAGACUGGGAUAACUUCGGGAAACCGGAGCUAAUACCGGAUAAUAUAUUGAACCGCAUGGUUCAAUAGUGAAAGACGGUUUUGCUGUCACUUAUAGAUGGAUCCGCGCCGCAUUAGCUAGUUGGUAAGGUAACGGCUUACCAAGGCGACGAUGCGUAGCCGACCUGAGAGGGGGAUUCGGCCAAACGGAAACUGAGACCCGGUCAAGAUCCCAAGGGAGGGCGCAGUUGGGAAUUCUUCCGCAUUGGGCGAAAGCUGGACGGGGCAAGGCGGGGGAGUUAAGAAGGGUCUCCGAUUGGUAAAACUCUGUUAUAGGGAAAGAACAAAGGGUUAAGUAACGAGGCAAGUCUGAAGGUAACUUAACAAAAAAGCAACGCCUAAUUACGG
rnacentral:rRNA from 1 species